UACGGAGGGUGCGAGCGUUGUCCGGAAUCACUGGGCGUAAAGGGCGCGUAGGCGGCAUGCCAAGCGUGUGGUGAAAGCCCGGGGCUCAACCCCGGGUCGGCCGUGCGGACUGGCGUGCUCGAGCACUGUAGGGGCGGGUGGAAUUCCGGGUGUAGCGGUGGAAUGCGUAGAGAUCCGGAAGAACACCGGUGGCGAAGGCGGCCCGCUGGGCAGGAAGGCUCGCAAGAGCCGGCUGACGCUGAGGAGCGAAAGCGUGGGGAGCAAACAGG
rnacentral:rRNA from 1 species